rnacentral:tRNA from 1 species
GCAGCGGUAGUUCAGUUGGUUAGAAUACCGGCCUGUCACGCCGGGGGGCGCGGGUUCGAGCCCCGUCCGCCGCGCCA